UAUGUCUAUUUUUGGUUUUUAGCUAUUUUGUAAGUUUUAAAGCUAGAUUAUGUGUUAGUAUAUUUUGGGUUACAUUUGGGAUUUUUUAGUUUAGGGUCACACUGUAAUUUAUUGUAAACAUUGGUGGUAGUAAUUUUAAGCGUGUUUUCUUUUCCCGCAGUAAUAUUUCUCGCCGACUGAUUUCUCGCCGCCGUGUCCUCCCCCGCCGCGGUCUCCUCCCCCGCCGCCGUCGGUUCCCCCGCCGCAGUCCUUCCCCCGCCGCCGUCAUUUAGUAAGAGCCGCCGUCGCAAUCGCUCCAGGAUGAUUUGAUAGCAAGCAAAACAAUUGUGGCAGGCCCUGCGGGAGUUUGGUUAGUUUUGGAUGCCAACAAUACCCUUCAAUUCAGGCGCAGUGGGAAUUUUUUUGCUGGUGAUUCGCAGUUGUGUCAGUUAAGUUUAAUGGUUAAAUAAUUUGUUUUUUAUUGCGCAUUUGGUUUUAGUGUUAGCAGUUUCUGGAUCGCAUUUGUGUCAGGUAAGAUUAUGUUUUAGUUUUGUUAUUGUUUAUUAGAUUUUUUUUUUUUAUUUUA